rnacentral:rRNA from 1 species
UACAGAGGUCUCAAGCGUUGUUCGGAUUCAUUGGGCGUAAAGGGUGCGUAGGCGGCGCGGUAAGUCGGGUGUGAAAUCUCGGGGCUUAACUCCGAAACUGCAUUCGAUACUGCCGUGCUUGAGGACUGGAGAGGAGACUGGAAUUUACGGUGUAGCGGUGAAAUGCGUAGAUAUCGUGAGGAAGACCAGUGGCGAAGGCGGGUCUCUGGACAGUUCCUGACGCUGAGGCGCGAAGGCCAGGGGAGCAAACGGG